rnacentral:ncRNA from 1 species
CUGAAACGGCAAACCGGCGGAAACGCCGGGGCGCAAAGCCAUGGGGGCUAAAGCGGCACCGCCGCCACGCCAGCCCGGCCACCA